rnacentral:misc_RNA from 1 species
UGGGAGUAGGGGAGUGCAAUCCAUGUAAGCUUCCUAUGGAGCCAAGAACAAAGCUGAGUAAAGUUGUUGAUGGUGAAGCAUUGGUUGAUGCAACCUUGUACAGGAGCUUAAUUGGAAGUCUUAGAUAUCUGGUUAAUACACGACCAGAUAUCACUUUUUCUGUCGGUGUUUUAAGCAGGUUUAUGGAGAAGCCUACAACAACCCACAUGGCAGCAGUAAAGCAAGUUCUUCGGUACAUCAAAGGUACCUUGAACAGUGGUUGUGUCUACUCAAAGAAGCAACCAGAUAUGAGUCUUGUUGGCUACUGUGACAGUGACCUUGCUGGUGAUAUCGACGACCGGAAGAGCACUACUGGAAUUUUGUUUUUUCUUGGCAGCA